UAUACCUUCCACCGCCAUCAUCAUCUCACCAUCAUCUUCGUGAAUCAUCUUCGCCUCUCCUAUCCCAACUGUUACGUACAAUUGCGAUAUAUUGGCUUAUAGUUGCGCUCCUUCAAUCCUUCUUUCUCCUCUUCGUUGAAGAUGGAUACUAGUAAAGGAUGUUACUACUUUCAGGAUUAACGUACUCAAGGUUGGUAAAGGUACUUGGCUACGAGUGAGGAGACGCUUAGAAUAACCACAUAGUCAAGAGACAAUUUCUAUUUCAAUUUAAGUUAGAUUUUAUUAUUUAUUUUAUGGGGAUUAAUUGGUUGUAAUAUUUUAUUGGCCACCUUUUAGACCACUUAGUUAAUUUUGACUUUAAUGAU